rnacentral:rRNA from 1 species
GACAGAGGUCCCGAGCGUUAGGCGGAAUCACUGGGCUUAAAGCGUGUGUAGGCGGAUCGUUAAGUGCCUUGUGAAAUCCCACGGCUUAACCGUGGAACUGCUUGGCAUACUGGCGGUCUUGAGCCACUUAGGGGCAACCGGAACAAAUGGUGGAGCGGUGAAAUGCGUAGAUAUCAUUUGGAACGCCAAUGGUGAAAACAGGUUGCUGGGGGUGUGCUGACGCUGAGACACGAAAGCCAGGGGAGCGAACGGG